CAACUUGAAGCUUAUAAAGUAAAGUAUUUCAUUUACAUUGAAAUGAUUAUUGUGCAAAUCAAUAUAAGUUGA
rnacentral:tRNA from 1 species